GACGAACGCUGGCGGCGUGCUUAACACAUGCAAGUCGAACGGAAAGGCCCUGCUUUUGUGGGGUGCUCGAGUGGCGAACGGGUGAGUAACACGUGAGUAACCUGCCCUUGACUUUGGGAUAACUUCAGGAAACUGGGGCUAAUACCGGAUAGGAGCUCCUGCUGCAUGGUGGGGGUUGGAAAGUUUCGGCGGUUGGGGAUGGACUCGCGGCUUAUCAGCUUGUUGGUGGGGUAGUGGCUUACCAAGGCUUUGACGGGUAGCCGGCCUGAGAGGGUGACCGGCCACAUUGGGACUGAGAUGCGGCCCAGACUCCUACGGGAGGCAGCAGUGGGGAAUAUUGCACAAUGGGCGGAAGCCUGAUGCAGCAACGCCGCGUGCGGGAUGACGGCCUUCGGGUUGUAAACCGAUUUCGCCUGUGACGAAGCGUGAGUGACGGUAAUGGGUAAAGAAGCACCGGCUAACUACGUG
rnacentral:rRNA from 1 species